rnacentral:rRNA from 1 species
UACGUAGGGCGCAAGCGUUAUCCGGAAUUAUUGGGCGUAAAGAGCUCGUAGGCGGUUUGUCGCGUCUGCCGUGAAAGUCCGGGGCUUAACUCCGGAUCUGCGGUGGGUACGGGCAGACUAGAGUGCAGUAGGGGAGACUGGAAUUCCUGGUGUAGCGGUGAAAUGCGCAGAUAUCAGGAGGAACACCGAUGGCGAAGGCAGGUCUCUGGGCUGUAACUGACGCUGAGGAGCGAAAGCAUGGCGAGCGAACAGG